AUAUUGAUUUUACGUUGUGACGUCAUAUCUGUUCAGCCCGCGCUGCGUCCUCAGACCGCGCUGAGCACGCUGAGGAGAGGUAAGCAGUUAGCGGUGCUCCGCCAAUAUAAAGUUGUAAAAGUUACCAGAAUUGUUAAUAAGUACUUAAUAUGCUAAAAUAUUAUUGUUAAGAGUGUUACAAACGUACUGAAAAUUGUUUUAUGUGUGGAUGGAUGACAUCUAAUGGUUUAUCAUUGAGUACAGCGGUUUGAGUAUGUAUGUGCGUCAGUAGGACACAGUGAUUUUAGUGAAUCAAUUAACUGGUGUUGUAUCUGUCCAGGUGGAAAAAUCACAGAACGAAAACCUUUCUCAUUGUUGUACUCUCUCUGCUCCAUCCAGACCGCGCUGAGCACGCUGAGGAGAGGUGGAAAAAUCACAGAACGAAAACCUUUCUCAUUGUUGUACUCUCUCUGCUCCAUCCAGCACCUGCAUGCUCCAUUUCAAUAAACCCUCCAUCAGCAGCA